CAAAUCUCAAAAAGACCGUCCCAGUUCGGAUCGCAGGCUGCAACCCGCCUGCGUGAAGUUGGAAUCGCUAGUAAUCGCGGAUCAGCAUGCCGCGGUGAAUACGUUCCCGGGCCUUGUACACACCGCCCGUCACACCAUGAGAGUCGGGAACACCCGAAGUCCGUAGCCUAACCGCAAGGGGGGCGCGGCCGAAGGUGGGUUCGAUAAUUGGGGUGAAGUCGUAACAAGGUAAC
rnacentral:rRNA from 1 species